UCUGUUUGAUCCCGGCGGAGGUUACUGCUAUCGAGGUUCGACUAAGCCAUGCGAGUCGAAUGUAGCAAUACAUGGCGUACUGCUCAGUAACACGUGGACAACCUACCCUUAGGUCGGGGAUAAACCCGGGAAACUGGGUAUAAUACCCGAUAGUCCUCGGAUGCUGGAAUGCACCGAGGUCUAAAGCUCCGGCGCCUAAGGAUGGGUCUGCGGCCUAUCAGGUAGUAGUGGGUGUAGCGUACCUACUAGCCUACGACGGGUACGGGUUGUGAGAGCAAGAGCCCGGAGAUGGAUUCUGAGACACGAAUCCAGGCCCUACGGGGUGCAGCAGGCGCGAAAACUUUACAAUGCUGGAAACAGCGAUAAGGGGACCUCGAGUGCCAGGUUACAAAUCUGGCUGUCGUGAUGCCUAAAAGCAUUGCAUAGCAAGGGCCGGGCAAGACCGGUGCCAGCCGCCGCGGUAACACCGGCGGCUCGAGUGGUAACCGCUAUUAUUGGGUCUAGAGGGUCUGUAGCCGGCCGGAUAAGUCUUUUGGGAAAUCUGGCAGCUUAACUGUCAGGCUUUCAGAGGAUACUGUCUGGCUCGAGGCCGGGAGAGGUGAGAGGUACUUCAGGGGUAGGGGUGAAAUCUCGUAAUCCUUGAAGGACCACCAGUGGCGAAGGCGUCUCACCAGAACGGACCUGACGGCAAGGGAC
rnacentral:rRNA from 1 species